rnacentral:rRNA from 1 species
CCUACGGGGGGCAGCAGUGGGGAAUAUUGGACAAUGGGGGGAACCCUGAUCCAGCCAUGCCGCGUGUGUGAAGAAGGCCCUCGGGUUGUAAAGCACUUUCAGUGAGGAAGAACGCCUGGUGGUUAAUACCCAUCAGGAAAGACAUCACUCACAGAAGAAGCACCGGCUAACUCCGUGCCAGCAGCCGCGGUAAUACGGAGGGUGCGAGCGUUAAUCGGAAUUACUGGGCGUAAAGCGCGCGUAGGUGGCUUGAUAAGCCGGUUGUGAAAGCCCCAGGCUCAACCUGGGAACGGCAUCCGGAACUGUCAAGCUAGAGUGCAGGAGAGGAAGGUAGAAUUCCCGGUGUAGCGGUGAAAUGCGUAGAGAUCGGGAGGAAUACCAGUGGCGAAGGCGGCCUUCUGGACUGACACUGACACUGAGGUGCGAAAGCGUGGGUAGCAAACAGGAUUAGAUACCCUGGUAGUC